ACCUAGCUGACUAAUCCCAAAUAGGACGAAACGCGCAUCAAACUAGAU
rnacentral:hammerhead_ribozyme from 1 species